CCUUAUGUAGCAAAAAGAAGUGAAAUGAAUACAGUUAACCCAAUUAGCAAAUCUGAUAAAGAUAGUGAGGUAAUAGACCUAUUCAAUCUUGCGUGAAAUAGUAAAUAGAUUGAGAGAUGCAUGUGAAAGUAGUUAAUAUACCCACAUGCCCCCGCCAAGCAAACUUAGAUCAGCCACCAACUUGACUGCUAGCACCAUUAUUUUGCAUCAAUGACAGAGACCAACAAUGGGUUAGACAAUAAACUCCAAUUACAUUUAAAAAGAAGCCAAAAAAGAAAGAAGAAAAGGAAAGAGUUUAAUUGCAUGAAAAUUAUAUGUAUGAUGUUGAAGUAAAUAUGAAGUAAUGGGUUAAUGUGGGUUGUGCAAUAGCACGGCCAAGGACCAAAACAAAAGGACGAUAAGGUACUCAUGAUGGUAUUGCAUGUGUGUGCACAUGGGUUUUAAAAGUUUUUAUCACAAAGUGCAUCAUCAUUCUUUCCCUAUUAUAUCUUUAGCGACAUGAAUAAUCAAUGCCCACUUGCUUAUGCUUCAACCCUUUUAAUUCUGUUCUUCGUUUAUACUUUGAUAGGAUAGCAACAAGAAAGAAAGGUCAAACUACCGAUUUUGGACUAAAACAAGAGAUCGAGUCUUAGAAGAGAUAUUUGUAUUAGAAGACAAGGAUUGAAUGAUGACGUCCUGACCUAACAUCAAGACCCAAAAUUUCAAGAUCCCCCAAAAUCCCUUUUCAGAUGACCUAAAUUUAUAAUAGAUAAUCCCUUUUCAGAUGUCCUAAAUUUAUAACAGAUUAUGAAUUGGUAAGAGCUCUUGCUUUAAAGAUAGAAGUUUCAAUUUUAAAUUUGUGGAUUAAUUCUCUAUAGAAUAAAUUCUUAAAAAAAUAUAAAAUCUAUAGUGAUCAUUAAAAAUCUCACAUUAUCUCUACCACUAACAACUAAUUAUAUUUCAUUAAAAAAAAUCCUAAAAAUAACAUAAAACUCGUUUAGUAUUGUCGUUAGAAUCUAGACUAGUUAUGCGUUUCCAAUUUACUAAAUAAUUAUAACACAAUUGUUGAGCUAAUUUAAGUGAAGUAUAAAUAUCGUUCCAUUGCAAUGUAGACUAUUUAUAUUAUUAUUAAUAAUCUGUUUAAUUUAUCUCAAAUUACGAACCUGAUAAUUCGAAGGCCAAUUAGAACACAACGUCCAUUGCCCCCUCCGACUCUCUUUCCGGUGAUAAAGAGAAAAGAUAAAAUGUAGAGAAGCGGUGGAGAACUGAGACAGCAUAGACCAAAAAUGUGAGUGGAUAAACAUACCAU
rnacentral:lncRNA from 1 species